AAAGUUCUUAGCCUAUCACAAUGCCAUCCUUUACAUGAUUUGUCGAAAUCCUGAGCGUGGCGAAAAAGCAAGACAGGAGAUUGAAGAUGAAACAAAAAAACAAAAAGGUUCAUUUGCUUCAAGCAGAUGUCGGAUUAGAAGA
rnacentral:ribozyme from 1 species